AUUGAACGCUAGCGGGAUGCUUUACACAUGCAAGUCGAACGAGUGGCGGACGGGUGAGUCAUAUAUCGGAACGUGCCCAGUAGCGGGGGAUAACUACUCGAAAGGGUAGCUAAUACCGCAUACGAUCGGAGCGGCCGAUAUCGGAUUAGCUAGUUGGUGGGGUAAAGGCUCACCAAGGCCACGAUCCGUAGCUGGUUUGAGAGGACGACCAGCCACACUGGGACUGAGACACGGCCCAGACUCCUCCGGGAGGCAGCAGUGGGGAAUUUUGGACAAUGGGGGAAACCCUGAUCCAGCCAUCCCGCGUGUAUGAGAAGGCCUGCGGGUUGUAAAGUACUUUUGGCAGAGAAGCGUUAUCUGCAGAAUAAGCACCGGCUAACUACGUGCCAGCAGCCGCGGUAAUUC
rnacentral:rRNA from 1 species